ACUGCACUGCGUCCGCCCUCUUUGUUUCUGUCUCAGUCUCUCUGUCUCCCUUCGUUCUCUUUCUCUCCCCCUGCUACCCCCCCCCACAGUUACACACACACACACACACACACACACACACACACACACACACACGCAGUGUGAAAGAUGCGAGCCAUAGCAUCUCGUAACAUGAAGGCCAUCCAGCUCCAUCCUCCCACUGCUGCUUGAACAAUAUGCUUAACACGUAGUGCCGCAGUCGCUGCUUGGAUUGAAUGUGUUCAUGCACAGAUUUUAUCAUCUUGUUACUCAAACGACUGAUGGCUUCUGACCCUGCCUGAAAAUUUCCUAAGAGGUAACAGUUCUAGGACACAGAUGCUGGAGGGAGUGGAGGAAGAAGUUUAAUUACCACAUACAGCUCUUCCAUAUGCAAGGUCUCUGGGGCAAAACUGUCAUUCUGUCUGAAGCCAGACCCUCAAUGUCAGACUAAGAGAGUCGGAUGGAGACUACAUCUUCUGUGUGUGUUGCAAUGGGAGGACUUCUCUCCACCGAGUUUAGUGAGGGCAACACUGUCUCACAUGUCUGAAUGCUGUGCUGCACUGUUGACUGUCACUGUUGGGGAUAUUGGAAGAUCACAAGAAACUCCUGAUCCUGAAUACUGGCCUGAGCCUCUUUUGGAAGAGGCCUUCCAGAACCCUACUCUUGCUAGAACUGAAUGCCAGAGCUGUGUAAUGGGGACAUCCUGUUGUGAACUUAUGUCCUUUCUGGACAAAUGUAUUCAAUUUGAGGCAGCAUGCCCAAUGGUUAGCCACUCAACCUCUGAACCCAAACCCCCAGCUCUACUGCUUAAUAGCUAUAUAACCUUGAGAAAAUUCAUUAAUAUUCCUGUACUUCAAUUUUAUCAUGUAUAAAAUAAGGAUAAUAAUUUUACAUGUCUUAUGGGGUUGUUAUGAUGAUUAAAUGGGUUAACAUUUCUAAAAAAUACUUGAACAGUGCCUGAUACAUUGUAAAUGCAUAUAUAUGUGUUUUUAAAAAUAGACAAUUAUAUACCAUUAAAUGUUAACCUGGCUUUGAUGCAGCUAGUUGAUCAAAUAAUCUAAAUCUUUGUAAUUGGAUAGUAAUAGAAAAGAAGGAAGAGAAAGAGAAUAUGCAUGUUUACAAAAGCAAAAGCCUAGGCUUUGGAUGUGGUGAGGACAGACAUCUCUGAGAUGUCCUUAAUUUUAUCCACUUCCAUUGAAUGUUAUUUGCGUUCACCUCUUGUGCAAAAUAAGAACCAAAAGGGAGUCUUCCUUAUUAU
rnacentral:lncRNA from 1 species